rnacentral:rRNA from 1 species
CGGGACGGGUGAGUAAUGUCUGGGAAACUGCCUGAUGGAGGGGGAUAACUACUGGAAACGGUAGCUAAUACCGCAUAACGUCGCAAGACCAAAGAGGGGGACCUUCGGGCCUCUUGCCAUCGGAUGUGCCCAGAUGGGAUUAGCUAGUAGGUGGGGUAACGCCUCACCUAGGCGACGAUCCCUAGCUGGUCUGAGAGGAUGACCAGCCACACUGGAACUGAGACACGGUCCAG